AUGAAUUGCCUCAGCUGGAACUGCUGUGGGCUUGGGAACCCAGUGGCAGUUCGUGAGCUUCGUAGUUUAGUGAAGCAAGAAGGGCCCUGUCUUCUGUUUUUGAUGGAGACAAAGAUUGCGGCAAAGAGGGUGGAAAGCCUAAAGAAUCAACUUGGUUUUCUAGACUGUUUUGCAGUGGACAGUGUGUUGGGCUGA
rnacentral:rRNA from 1 species